GAUGAACGCUAGCUACAGGCUUAACACAUGCAAGUCGAGGGGAAACGACAUCGAAAGCUUGCUUUUGAUGGGCGUCGACCGGCGCACGGGUGAGUAACGCGUAUCCAACCUGCCCACCACUUGGGGAUAACCUUGCGAAAGUAAGACUAAUACCCAAUGAUAUCCCACGAAGGCAUCCGAAUGGGAUUAAAGAUUUAUCGGUGAUGGAUGGGGAUGCGUCUGAUUAGCUUGUUGGCGGGGUAACGGCCCACCAAGGCAACGAUCAGUAGGGGUUCUGAGAGGAAGGUCCCCCCACAUUGGAACUGAGACACGGUCCAAACUCCUACGGGAGGCAGCAGUGAGGAAUAUUGGUCAAUGGGCGAGAGCCUGAACCAGCCAAGUAGCGUGCAGGAUGACGGCCCUAUGGGUUGUAAACUGCUUUUAUAAGGGAUAAAGUGAGUCUCGUGAGGCUUUUUGCAUGUACCUUAUGAAUAAGGACCGGCUAAUCCGUG
rnacentral:rRNA from 1 species